rnacentral:tRNA from 1 species
UAGUUUUUGUAGUUAAAA